UCUCCAAAGCUAGAGCUGUCUGAUUAACAGGGCAAGACCAAUACUUGUGCCAUGAAAGGGGAGCGGUUCAAUUUGCACCAACUGAGAUAAUAAGGGCAAAAGUUUAUGCUGCAAAUGUGUCAGUCUACAAGGUGCCACCGAACUGCUGACUUUCUUGCAACAGCCUAACAUGACAUCCCCUCUGGAAUUUGUAAGGGUCGUGCAAAGGGGAAGGAGGAAGACAGGGUAGCUAGAAGAGGCUCCCUUCGGGAUCAGACAAAAGCGCCACAUCAAGCCCAGCAUUCUGUUUCCACCAGUGGCCAGUCAGAUACUUCCAGGAAAACCAUGAACAGGGCACGAAGGAACAUCAUAACCCCGGCUGGCCCCCGCGACAGUGGCUGACUACCUCUCAACCUGAAAAUGCCAGUCAAAACAGAACUAAGACGGAGAGCCGCCGUAACUGCAGCGGAGAACGUACUACGAAGCGUCAUGUGACCAAAGAAGGGCGGAAAAAGAUUAUCAGCGUGGAUUGAAGGUGCAGCGGCCAUCUUCGCUACGGUCUGCGUUCUUGCUCUCUUGCAUGGGAGGGAAAAGAGAAGGGGUUCCGUCCCGCCACCCCAUGACACUAGAGCUGCUGCUGCUGAGCCUGUGUGCGGCGGCAGCCUGCUGUAGCUAAGGGCUUCUGGAGCGAAUAAAAAUGACCCUUUGACGAAGCUCCUGUCGUAGUCGAAGAUGCCAUGAAGGGACGUGGAACGCAGCCAAGCAUGUCGCCGCAUGCUCACCGCUGUGACCAUUGUGCGUGACUCCGUCUCAGCCAGGUGUUUAAAGGUGUUUAACUGCUGCCAUGUCACCCUCGUAGUUUUCUCAAAGAUCUCACUGAAUUUCCAUUGGAACUCCUCAGGCAUCAUGGAUGUAGAAUCCUGUAAGAGGGAAUCCCAUAACAGGUGUCGUGUGGCAGCAACCACCCCGUGAAGUCGUAGCACAGUCCACGACCAAUGAAUUGGGAACCGGAUGACGCAAGAGGGGCAUCUGAUGAAGACGAACUGGGCCGCGGAGUUGGCGGGCGAAGCACGUCAUCAUAUAACGCCGCCUGAAGACGGAGCGCUUGAUUCUGCCACAUCUGCUUUGAAAAAGAGCAGCAAAUCUUACAAGCAGAAGUAUUAUGCUCCUCCCCAAGGCACAUUAAGCAAGUGUCAUGGAGCUCUGUGGAAGGGAGCUUAGCCCGGCACUUAACACAGCACUUGAAUGUCUUUUUCGCCUCCAUAGCACCGAUCAGUUUUAUUCUUUAAGUCCAGUCAGCAAGCAAAGCCAGUCCGUUUUCCAAUCCACAGUCGAGUCACAGAACAACAAGAAAGUCCCGAACAAUGACAAAACGUUAUCCAAAUCCAAUCCGUAAACGAAAUCCAAGGUCAAAACCAGUGAAUCAACUUUAUACCAAGGAGCUAUCACAACGAGGUUUGAACGCUUAGGCGGUCAGAGAGAAACUGAGGGAGAGAUGCCCCAACUGCCGCUUUUAACGAUCUCAGCACAGCACGUGCAGGCGGGGCGGGGCGUCAUGAGGAGUUAUUCAAUGAGCCCGCGAGGUCUCUGCGCAAGCGCAGAACCCAUUUCCUUAUGAUUACAACGGAUCACGAUCCAGAUUCUGUAUUUAUGAGACUGAGUGGAAUAACAGUUCUGCUUAUAGAAUCAAUAGGAUUCUAUUAAUCAGAAAAUAUUAAUUUUUUAUGCUACAAAAAUUGUUGCACACUACAUGUUAAUGCAAAUACAGACACAGCCAAACUAGUAGCCCAGUCAUGUGAGGUGCUGUACUGCAGUAGUGAUUCACAGGAAACCACAUAACAUUCUUCACACUAGCUUACAGGAACAGUGUGCAAGCACUGCCCUGACACAGAAAGUGUCAUUAGUUCUGCUGUGAUGGCACCACUACCUUGCCCCCACAUGGCAUUGAUCCCAGGAGUUUUCUGCAGCACAGAACAAGGAAGGAGGCACGGUCCUUGGAGGGGGCAUGAUGUGUAAGAAGCUAUCUUCAAACUGGACUUACUAGGGCAGUUGCUGCUUUUGUGUACCUUCUGUUAGUACUUCAGUAUCUACUUGGCACCAGCCAUGUUCUAUCUUGCUUAGGCUGAAGGAUCUAUGUGGCUAACUGGAAAAAUAGUAUGGCAGUUCGCAUGAUUGAAAACUUGGUAGGGUAAGUGUCCUACCCAGCUUCACGAGCUGGGCAUGCUCCCAGUUUUUGAUUCUCUGUGAGCAAACUAGCUGUGUGUCGGGGGAAGUAAUCAUGUGUGAGAGAGGAGCUGGGUAGGACAAUGCCUUCCUACCCAGCUCUCACACCCAGCAUUUUAACAAGAUAGGAGGAGAAGCCAUCUUACUUAGCUCCUCUCUCACACGUGAUCACACGCCCCGCCUCCUACCUAGUUGUUUGCUCACACACAAUCAGAAAUUAGGAGUGUACACAGCUCCCAAAGUUGAGUAAGAUGCUUGUCCUACCCAGUUUUCUAUCUUGUGAACUGCCUUACAGUAUACUAGCAUACCUGAACAUCCUUUUUGGAUUUAGUGAAGCCAGCCAGAAGCUGUAGGAGUUUGAGAAGAAAUUGCAUGUCCCUCGGCCAUGACAUUCGAUAAAUGGAACAGGGUGAAAAUUUUCUAAACAUGACCCUGGAGAUGCCAGUGCUUGUCCGGAAGCUUCUGAGCCUGCUCCUGUAUACUGUAACACAUAAUAGAGAUUCCCAGUGACAGACGGACAGUAAGAAGCCUCCAGUUAAAUCAAGUAUAAAUACCAGAUCAUUGACCAUUUAUCCUUGCCUGGUCACUUGAGCCUUUCCGCUUUUUUCAGUGGCCUAGACUGCCAAAUCGCUCUCUAGCUUUCAUGGAGGAAUUUCAUCUCCUCCUGGAUUUCUGGCCUACUCUGAUUCUCUCCAUGUUCCAGUUCCUUUGCCUCAGACUUUGGAUUUUUUUCUGUGCUACAAGUGCUUCAAUUUUUGAUUCUGCUUCUCCUCUAGUCAACAUUGCUCACCCUGUAUUAUUUUACUCAGCUCGACCCAUCUUUUGCCCCCAAGAUUGUUUGCAGUGGCCCUGAGUUAAACUCAGUUCCCUCAGGCAUGGUUCCACACAAGAGCUCCCGCAGUUAUGGCCUGAACUUGACUGAGAUCACUUUAAAAAAAUGAAGCUCACUUUACCCUUACUCUGACUUGAAAAGAAGCAUGAGUGGAAUGCAGUCACUUGAGGGGUUAACUGUUGCUGCAAGAUAAUUUGCAGUCAAAGCAACCUAAUGGCACAGUGGGGAAAUGACUUGAUUAGCAAGCCAAAGGUUGCCAGUUCGAAUCCCUGCUAGUAUGUUUCCCGGAAACACCUAUAUUGGGCAGCAGCGAUAUAGGGAGAUGCUGAAAGGCAUCAUCUCAUACUGCACAGGAGAAGGCAAUGGUAAACCCCUCCUGUAUUCUACCCAAGGCAACCUCAGGACUCUGUGGUCGCCAGGAGUUGACCUGUGGUCGCCAGGGGUCAUCCCAUGAAACUGAUUGCCAGGAAAUCUAGGACCGGCAAACGGAAGUACUUUUUCACACAACGCAUAAUCAACUUGUGGAAUUCUCUGCCACAAGAUGUGGUAACAGCCAACAACCUGGAUGGCUUUAAGAGGGGUUUAGAUAACUUCAUGGAAGAGAGGUCUAUUGACGGCUACUAGUCGGAGGGAUCUAGGCCACCUCCAGCCUUGGGGGCGGGGUGCCUCUGAGUACCAGUUGCAGGGGAGUACCAGCAGGAGAGAGGGCAUGCCCUCAACUCCUGCCUGUAUUUUCCAGCGGCAUCUGGUGGGCCACUGUGCGAAACGGGAUGCUGGACUAGAUGGGCCUUGGGCCUGAUCCAGCAGGGCUGUUCUUAUGUUCUUAUGACUUGACAGCACACUUUACCUUUCCAGAAUAUAUGGAACUUCUGCUUAGGCUGAUUCUUCAAAUGAAGCCCUAUUAAAACCUUAAUAUGUCAUACGAUGACCCAGAUAUCCAUAUAACUCUUCAAUUUCUGGUCUCUUCUGGGAACCUUCCCCCCACCCCUGCCCGCUGGCCACCAUACUUAUUCUUCAAAAGUGCUGUAAUCAGGCAUAUCUAGGGAAAAUAGCCCCUAGGGCAAGCACUGAAAUUGCAUCCCCUGUCCAAACAUAUGACAUCCAUCUUUCAGAUAACUUUACCAUAAUAUCAGCUGAAAAAUACAAGCCAAGCUCGUUAAUCUUUUAAUACUUCAAAAACUAUUUAGCAGUGGAUAUAGCCAGACCAAAAAAUGCUGGAAAACUACAAAUUUCAGUGUGCUAGGGCUCAUGAAAUACCCAAAUACUAUGUGGAGGAGUACUUGGAAAACUAAACAGAAGUGCCUGUCUAAUUCUCUACUAUCCAUUGUAGCAUCACUAUUACAUAAGUUUUAAAAAUCAAUGGAGAAUUUGACUUUUCCCAGAUACUCUGAAAAUAAUUAAAGGAUAUGCAGAGUAAACUGUGUCACUGCUUGGAAUAUAUUCUAGUAUUCCAGAAAGACAGUUAAAAUGAGAGAAAGAGAGCAAGAAACUCCCAGUGGCCUUAAUACUAAGGAUUUCACACUGAUUCAAAGACAAACUCACCAUUAAUAGCCAUAUUAUUAAGACAUCACAUUUAACUCACUUAUCACAAGAAGCAAAGUAAGAGCAAAUGAAUACAAUCCUAGCUCAUAAGCUUCAGCUCAGUAUUCACAAGCCCUGAUUCUCUGUACAUAGUGCCAAACUAAAUAUGUGUACAGUAACUUAUAUUAUAUUAAAUUUUAGGAAAAAAGUUUUUACUUGUAGCCCCUUCGGGGGGUGUCCUAAAAGCUGGGGGAGGGGGUCUGCAAAGGUCCCCCCUCCUCCCGCUGGCCUCUAGGGCCUUGCAGGGACCAUUUGAGCAUGUGCGGUAGCCAUUUUAAAAUAUAUAUAUUUUACAAUGGCUGCUGAAAACAAAAUGGCCACCGUGCAUGCUCAAAUGGCCUCUGCCUGGCAUGCCCUAGGGCCUCACAGAGGCGAUUUGAGCAUGCGUAGUGGCCAUUUUGUUUUCGGUGGCCAUUUAAAAAAAAUUUAAUUUUAAAAAAUGAUGCCCCCCUUCAAGUGGUGCCCGGGGCACAUGCCCUGCCUGCCCCACCCUAGAUACACCCCUGGCUGUAAUAGUUUUUUAGUUUUCCUUCUUACCAUAACAAAAGAAAAUCCUUUCCAAAGAGACUGCCAGCCCUGAGGACAGGAUGGAACUGAAGUGGUUUGACUGUGGACUGCUAUUACCAUUGCAGGGCUUUCGCAGACAAUGCAUCUAAAAUGUAAGAUAUACAAAUUAUUACUUGAAUAAAAACAGACAAUUGUCUUUCAGAUAGGAGUAAAUAUCAGCCUACAACCUAAAUUCCAGCACUUUUGAGGAGGUGCUGACUUGCACACUGCUUUCAGACUCCCUCUCCUCCACCUGCCCCUGAUGCUGCAGCAACACUUUUGCCCCCUUCAUAUCUCUCUGACAAAAUAUCAAGAGAGGGGACAUUUUGCAGUGGGGGUGAAUGGAUGGGGCGCGGCGGAAUUCACAGUGUUGUAACCCACAGAAUAUUUAAAAAUCAGCUACAUGUAGUCAGCUACAUGUGUGCAAAUUCAAGGAAAACAAAGUAUGUUUUCUGGCUACAUUCAUUUUUAAAUGUACAGCACUACCCUCAGCAGCUAUAAUUUGCUUCAUAUUAUUUAUAUGUUGAUGUUUGUAGAAUGUUAUUACUUAAUUUAGAAUUCACUCUCUCUUUACCGUUUCACAAAACUGUACUGGAUACAGUUUAGAAAUCUGUAUCUGGCACUUUCAGUUUGUAAAGACAAAUAAUAAUCUGCACUAACCCUGUUCAGACAUUAAAACUGAGGACACUGUACGAGGACACUGUGUUUGUUUCUGCAGACAAGCUGUUCCCAGGGUGGGGUUUUUGCAUGUUUUGGGGAUGGGCUUUUAAGUGCAUUAUCACAGAUGCUGUACAGGGUCCCCACCCAGUUUGCAUAAUGCCUGAAGAGGAUGUCUCUGUUUAUCCAAAACAAACUGCUUUCUGUAUGCGAACACAAUCAGACUGAGAAACCCAAGAUAUUAAAAUACUACCUGCUAAUAUAGGGUUCCAAAGCUCUCCCGGAAAUGGGUGCCAUGUCUGCUGGCAUUGGUUCUGCAGUUGACAGCCAGUAUGAAUAGUCAUUGCGAGAAGCAAAACUACAGACAUUACUGGGAUUACAUAAUAAAAAGGGCAUGGUGCUAAAUCUCUGGAGACAGCUACCACCUGCACCUGGAAAAUUCAGAAGACCAACAGUGACCACCACUAUUUUAGUAUCACAAUCCAUACAGACAUGUUGCCCCCCCCCCCCGCAAAUAAUUUUUUAAAAAAAUCUGUAAUAGGGUGAUGCAUUAUAGGGAAGAACCUCCUCAUUUAUUAAGUUUCUGUGACUGAAUGAGAUAUGAAGAUUAUAAUUUUUUUUAAAAAUAGGUAGAACAUAACUCAAUUUUCUGUAUUUUAUUUUUAUUUAUUUAUCAAGGUAUUUCUAUUAUGUCUGUGCUUUGGCGGUGUACAUAAGAGAAGUUAAUGUUACAAGAACUUUCUUCAUGAUGUUGUGCUUUGGCGGUGUACAUAAGAGAAGUUAAUGUUACAAGAACUUUCUUCAUGAUGUUUUAAAACCAACUAGCACAGGGGAAGUUAACAUGGUACAUGAAGAAGUGAGAAUGUAAAUUGAACUUUAAGUGACUACAAAAAGGAAAUAAUGCCUCUGUUAGUUAUGAUUCUGGUUCUAAGUUUCCCAACAUAUGAAAUAACUAUCAAAAGCUCCUUGUGCAGGGCUUGUUCUGUAAGCAGCUGUCCAGUGUGAGUAGCAUUAGAGAAGAUUUCUUACUUAAUUGUUUACUUUCAUCCCAUCAAUUAGAUGUUUGCUUUGGCAUAAUAAAGCUGAUACGCUGAGUAAAAAUGUUAUUUAUAAGCAAUAAUUCAAAGCAUAUAAGUAUAUAUACAUAUACAAUUACCAAGAUCUUGUCCAU